rnacentral:rRNA from 1 species
UACGGAGGGAGCUAGCGUUGUUCGGAUAUACUGGGCGUAAAGCGCACGUAGGCGGCGCAGUAAGUCAGGGGUGAAAUCCCGGGGCUCAACCCCGGAACUGCCCUUGAAACUGCAGUGCUAGAAUCUUGGAGAGGCGAGUGGAAUUCCGAGUGUAGAGGUGAAAUUCGUAGAUAUUCGGAAAGAACACCAGUGGCGAAGGCGACUCGCUGGACAAGUAUUGACGCUGAGGUGCGAAAGCGUGGGGAGCAAACAGG